GCACCAUCUACAUCAAGGUUCAUGGUUCACAUUCAGUUGGGUGGGACAACAAAUUCUUGAUUUCAUUCUGGCGUCUACUACAAGCCUAGUAGUAGCCCACCCGCGAUGAACUACCAACAGUGCCCACACUGGCAUUGUCAUCCAGUUCUUCGUGCUCUCCCCCACCGGUCUGUCCGUACAAUUUCCGUCACAAACGUGCCAAGACAGCUGCUAAGGCAAGUGACAUAUCCAUUACUGUUGAAUUUGUGUACUUGUAUGCCUCAUGCUGUUGCUUCCUUUGUUGCAAUAUAGUUGCAGCUGCUGUCUACUGAGAAUAUGCAUUGUACACCUGGGCUCAGAUGGCUUGCAGCCGUGCCAACUGGGACAAGGGCCACACGAAAACAUGCUGGACCUGGUGCAUAGCUGAGAGGACCAAUUCAAUUGGGAGCACAGUGGCCUAGCCUAAGUUGGUAGUUAGGGAUAGCAGCACGUGUAACGCAACUUCAAACAAUAGACUGGUCUUAAUUUGGGCAGCAAGCAGCUGCAGAACAAGCUGCACACCAUGCAGAGAGCAUUCCUGAGCUGGAAGGACUUGCAAGUCCAAUCUGGUUUAGGCUGUGACAAAGAAACUGGUGGCGUUGCUGCUGAUUCCACCUUUUGGGAUGACGAUGAAGGGGAAACCAGUGCUGGUGCUGCCCAGACUAGUUCUGCUAAACCACCCCUGUUCCUCGACGAAUUGUACACGUUGUUCGGCCACACCACCCAAGACAGGGGCACCUUCUGACGACAGGAGGUAUUCGUGAGGCGACACCUAGCAUGGGGACUGAGGACAAUGCACAUGACAUUUACCUGGACCCAUGGCUGCUAGUAGUGCUCAUAACUUGUCUAAAAGGACAACCCGGGAAAUCUCUGUUGACAAUCCUCCGAAAAAGAAAAGUGGCAGCUUGGAGGACUAUGUCAGGGAACUUUCCAAAAUUGUGGUAACGAGGAGCCAGAAACGUGGCGACCGUGAGCAGGAGGAACUGGACCGUGCAAUGCAGCUUAUAGAAGAAGAUGGUAUCGAGGAGGGGUCUGAGUUGUACUGUCAUGCACUUUAUUUAUGUAAGAAUGUAGUGUAUCGGAGGGCCUUCACGAAGAUGAAAAUGAAAGAGGGCCGACUGAAUUGGAUCCAAUUCAACUGGGACAGGGAGAACAAGUAGUCCAUUGUGGCAUAAGUUUGUUUUAUUCUAGUGAUGUGUACUGAUGGGUUGAAACAAUAAUGUCUGAUGUACUGCAUGUUAAAUUUUUUUCAAGUUCAAUGUCGCCCAUGAUCUGUACUACAUGACCAUCUAUUUUUUACUUGUGUCACAACGCUUGUAAUUUCCAUAGUAUGUCUUAGUAGUGAUGAGGAAUUUUAAUGUGUGUUGUCAUUGUGCCGUGAACAGAAAGGUGGGGAGGCCAUUUGAGGCCCUCAGCAGGCGUCCAGGGAGGAGGAUUGGUUAGUUGUCCGGGCUUCCAUGGAGGAAAGGGAGGGCGAUUGACAGGCUCAUUCAAGUAUGAGUAGUGCUGAGGAAUCAAACAGCGACAUCGGCAGUGAUUCUAGCUCCAUCGUGUACUAGCUGGCGAGUGUAGCAGCAGCUAUAGCAGCAUAUGUCGCCGUGAAUAGAAGCCCACCUCCUGUGGUGAACCCGCCAGUGGAGUUACCACGCAUGACCGGACGGCAAUGGGUUGAGCUCAAUAUGCAGGAAAGCUGGAGGUGCUACGACAAUUUUCGUAUAUAUCCUGACGUGUUCCUUCAGUUGCAUGACAUCUUGGUUAACAAUCAUGGGUUGCAAUCGUCACAAGGGGUAGAAUCUAUUGAGGCUUUAGGUAUGUUCGUCUGGGCUUGUGCGACACAACAGGCUUCCUGUCAAAUUAGAGAUAGAUUUGAGCGGAGUUUGGACACAGUUAGUAGGAAGAUGGCGCAUGUGGCAGAUGUAAUGUUCUCAUUUGCCCAGACGGUAAUCGCUCCAAAGGAUCCUGCGUACUCCAAGGUUAAUCAUAGGCUGAACCAGUAUGCACCGUUCUUUGAUGGGUGUAUAGGUGCUCUAGAUGGAACCCACGUUCCCGUAUAGGUCGGGCGUGAGUCCCAUUUGGACUUCAUUAAUAGAAAAUGGUGGACAAGCUUUAAUGUGUUAGCGAUAGUGGAUAUGGAAAUGCGGUUCACCUAUGUAGGAGCGGGGAGGGCAGGGUCCAGUCAUGACAUGUCGGUGUUGCGGGAGUGUAUGGAGACACCAAACUACCCGCAUCCACCUCCAGGAAGGUAUUAUUUGGUGAACUCGGGUUAUGCAGUUCGUGAAGGCUAUCUGGGGCCUUAUUGAAGUACCAGGUACCAUUUGGAGGAAUUCAGCAAAAGAGCGACUGAAAGUUUGGAGGAGAAAUUCAACUUCCACCAUUCGAGUCUUCGCAAUGUUGUCGAACGAGCUUUUGGCGUGCUCAAAUCCAGGUGGCAUAUUUUGUGGCAAGUACCAUUCUAUAAUCGAGAGAGGCAAACGAAGAUCGUUAUUGCUUGCUUUGCACUCCACAAUUAUUUGCUGGACCGUGCCGAUGUAAGUACUGUAGAUUCGAACAUGGUGCGAACUCCAGAUUACGAGGUAUCCGCAUGGGUCGCAGCAAAUGCUACUCCUGAUAUGGCCAGUGUACGAGAUUGGAUCGCGGCAGGAAUCUCAUUGAUGUAGAUGUAUGCGUAUGUGUGUACGUUUGUGUUAUAUGUUGUAUGUAAGCAAUUGAUGUGCAAUAUGUUAUUCUAGUGUGUGGCUUAUUUUGUA